GACGAACGCUGGCGGCGUGCCUAAUACAUGCAAGUCGAACGAGAGCGACCGGUGCUUGCACUGGUCAAUCUAGUGGCGAACGGGUGAGUAACACGUGGGUAACCUGCCCAUCAGAGGGGGAUAACAUCCGGAAACGGAUGCUAAAACCGCAUAGGUUUUCGAACCGCAUGGUUUGAAGAGGAAAAGAGGCGCAAGCUUCUGCUGAUGGAUGGACCCGCGGUGCAUUAGCUAGUUGGUGAGGUAACGGCUCACCAAGGCCGUGAUGCAUAGCCGACCUGAGAGGGUGAUCGGCCACAUUGGAACUGAGACACGGCCCAAACUCCUACGGGAGGCAGCAGUAGGGAAUCUUCCGCAAUGGACGCAAGUCUGACGGAGCAACGCCGCGUGAGUGAAGAAGGUUUUCGGAUCGUAAAACUCUGUUGUUAGAGAAGAACAAGUGCUAGAGUAACUGUUAGCGCCUUGACGGUAUCUAACCAGAAAGCCACGGCUAACUACGUG
rnacentral:rRNA from 1 species